AAAAGGGGGAAAGAGGUGGAGGCCAACCCCAAUCUGUCACCCCAUUGAUUGCCAGGGUUGAUUCAACUGAUCUGGCCAGCUAGGUGGGUGUCCCCUCCCUCUCUCACCGGUUCAUGUGCAUCCCUCCCAAAGCUGCGCGCUUGGUGGAAGAGGACGACCAUCCCAGAUAGAAGGAGUGUACAGUGGUACCUCGGGUUAAGUA